UUAAAGUCUAACCUGCCCACUGAAAUUUUUAAAUGGCCGCAGUAUUCUAACUGUGCAAAGGUAGCAUAAUCAUUAGUCUUUUAAUUGAAGGCUGGAAUGAAUGGUUGGACGAAAUAUUAACUGUUUCAUUUUAAUUUUUUAUAGAAUUUUAUUUUUUAGUCAAAAAGCUAAAAUUUUUUUAAAAGACGAGAAGACCCUAUAAAUCUUUAUAUUUUUUUUAUUUUAAUUAUAAAGAUUAUUUUAGUUUUAAUAAAAAAAAAUAUUUUAUUGGGGUGAUAUUAAAAUUUAAAAAACUUUUAAUUUUUAAAAUCAUUAAUUUAUGAUAAAUUGAUCCGUUAUUAACGAUUAAAAAUUUAAGUUACUUUAGGGAUAACAGCGUAAUUUUUUUGGAGAGUUCAUAUCGAUAAAAAAGAUUGCGACCUCGAUGUUGGAUUAAGAUAUAAUUUUGGGUGUAGCCGUUCAAAUUUUAAGUCUGUUCGACUUUUAAAUUCUUACAUGAUCUGAGUUCAAACCGGCGUAAGCCAGGUUGGUUUCUAUCUUUAAUAAAUUAUAAUAUUUUAGUACGAAAGGACCAAAUAUUAAAAUUAUUAAAUUUUAAUAAAGAAUAUUAUUAAUAAUU
rnacentral:rRNA from 1 species